rnacentral:lncRNA from 1 species
UUUAGUUGGAGAUGAAUUUAGGUAGAGGUGAUCUAUUUUAAGAAUCAAAAGAUUUGUUAAAUUUAUAAAGAGUAUCAAAGAGUUAUUCAUAUUUAAAAAGCAGAUAUAAUUAUUCUACUUCAGUAAUUUUAAGAAUCUUAAAGAUAUAUGUAAUAUUUUGAAAAUUUUGCUUUAUGAGUUAAAAUGGUAAGAAUUGAAGUUUCAAUAACACUAAAUUUUGAUAGAAUUACAGAACUUAAACUUUUUGAGUGACAAUGGUUUUUAUAUGUCAUUUAAAAAUCUACAAACCAAUAGUACUUGAUUUAAUUAAGAAUGUUAGAAUUUAUUAAACAAUAACUAUAUAAUUUUA